AGGAAGAGGAAGUGAACGCACAACCAGAAAGUCAUGUUCUAGUUCCCCCCAGCUUCUGGUCCGAGCCACUGCAGGCAUGUGGCUGUAUUUGCUGAUCCUGAAUCUAAGCAGCCAAUAGAAGAGCAGGACUUCAAUGUGAGUGUUCUACUACAUCCAUAUGGAGUCGCAUUGAGGAUCUCCUUCUUGGACACUGUUAUUAGAAACUCCUAGGACUGCACUUGGGCAGCAGGUCAAUAGAAAAUGGCCCUUGAGAUUUGAAGUGAGUCCAUUUGAAGUGAGUAUCUGAGAGGCUUCACAUCACCAGUUUCCAAGGAAGGGAGUUUAUACAGUUUCUGAAAAAGGAUUGAUUUGUUCUUGGCCUACAAACUGAUGUCUGUCCAUGUCUGAGAAGCUACUACACACUGCUCUAUCUGUAGAAGACUGGGAUAUUAAGAGGAUAUUCUCAAGUAAUUCUUUCUGUUCUCUUUAUCAGUUUUCAGUACCUUGCUCCAACUUUAUUUAUUUAUGGAUAAACUACCCUUCUUCUUCCCCCACUUUUGGUUUGAAAGAUACCUUUGUCUAGCCAUAACUCCUGUUACAUACACAAUGGUUACAGGCAUGGACUGAAGUCCAUAAAGAGAAAUAAGAUUUUAUUCUUCCUGUCAUAAAUGUCUUUUGGAUUUGGAGAUAUUUAAUGUAGUCCUAACUUCUGUGAUCAGAAUGGGUUACAAACACAGAACCUUUUUCUUCCUUGCUACCGAACUGCCUUUCUCUUUUUACUAUCUACACUGUUUUUUAGCAUAAAACCUAUAAGACAACCUAUAAGAGAACAAUUACCUUUGCAGCAAAUUCACUUAGACCAUUCGAUUUUUGUAAUUCCUAACUUGCAACUGGAUUUCAAAAUACUACUCUACCAUUUUCUAUACAUUAGCAUUGUUCUUGAUUCAACCCCUACAGGCUGACACUCUCUAGACUUUGUUUUUAUCCUUUUUUUACUUCUUGAACCUAUUUAACCUAUUUUUUUGCGUCCUGGAUUCAACCAUUAAGGCCUUCUCAGUCCUUCAAGGAAUGAUUUACAUUUCCCUACAGGGGAAGCUGCUGAUAUUUAAAGCUUCUCAUUUCUUGGGAGCCAUUCUCCCUGGAGAUAUACUGUACUUCAUCUUUUUUACUGGUGCAAGGUUUAAGGAAGUGCCAAAGCAGGCUCAGCAGCAAGGGGGAUAACAUCAUCAGAGGGCUAACUGGAAACCAAAAUGCAAAUCGCUUCAAUUUGUAAGAUUUGUAUAUUAGACUCUCUCACACAUUAGGAUCCUAUAGCAAGCAUAGGCCACAGUAAUCAGUUCAUGUUCAUCUUUAAUAUGUGAGCUGCUAUUAUACAUGAGCAUCUAGUAAUUUAUUUUUAUUUUUAAAAUGUCACCAUUUUUUUUAAAAGAAAGCCUAGAUUACUUCUUCUAACUCAAAAUGAAAUGACAGAUCUAUAUGAGGGUACAUGCUCUACAGUCUUCCUAUUUAUAAUAUCAUUCUGAUUUACCCUGUUUUACUGAGAUUAGUUUAUUUUAUAUCAUUUGUAUGGUAAUUUCUCUGUACACAAGCUUACAAUUACUACAAUAUCUGUGUAAUUGGUUGCUGUGUUAGCUAAUCAUGUGACAAAAUAAUGUCUCUACAAAUAAAGUAGAAAGGAUCACACAAUAUCAAGCUAUGAAAACAAAUAAGUAUUUCUAAAUAUCUAAUCACAUUAAGUAGAUAAAAGAAAAGAUUUUAAGAGUAAUGUAAUCUGCCCUGAUUGUCAGCCAUGCUAUUGCUGAUGCUUUAUCUUUAUUUCAUAUAACCACUGUAGUAAAGAUUAGUGUUUCCAGUAUAAAUCCCAAUAUUAUAGGUUAUUAUAAUGCUAUGGGAACCAGUUGUCAUUCCACUGCCUGGUUUAGUCCUACCACCUUUGGGGGAGAGAAGUACUGGCAGGGAUGGGGAAAAUGAGGAGAUAAUGGGCAAGAGAUUCCCCAAGGGA